AGCAGCCGCGGUAAUUCCAGCUCCAAUAGCGUAUAUUAAAGUUGUUGUGGUUAAAAAGCUCGUAGUUGAACCUUGGGCCUGGCUGGCCGGUCCGCCUCACCGCGUGUACUGGUCCGGCCGGGCCUUUCCCUCUGUGGAACCCCAUGCCCUUCACUGGGUGUGGCGGGGAAACAGGACUUUUACUGUGAAAAAAUUAGAGUGCUCCAGGCAGGCCUAUGCUCGAAUACAUUUGCAUGGAAUAAUAGAAUAGGACGUGUGGUUCUAUUUUGUUGGUUUCUAGGACCGCCGUAAUGAUUAAUAGGGACAGUCGGGGGCAUCAGUAUUCAAUUGUCAGAGGUGAAAUUCUUGGAUUUAUUGAAGACUAACUACUGCGAAAGCAUUUGCCAAGGAUGUUUUCAUUAAUCAGGAACGAAAGUUAGGGGAUCGAAGACGAUCAGAUACCGUCGUAGUCUUAACCAUAAACUAUGCCGACUAGGGAUCGGA
rnacentral:rRNA from 1 species